rnacentral:lncRNA from 1 species
UUUUAUUUCUUAUUUUCACUGUAUUUUAAUUUUAUUUUUAUUUCUUAAUUCAUUUUCAUUUUACAAUAAGGUGAUGGAUCUAAACACGUCAGCAGGGACAAGGUGACGGACUCCAAACCAAUUCCCACAUCCCUCUGCCUCCCUAAAAACAAUCCCUCACACCCUGCGGCUGCCUCCUCAUCUCAGCCCUUCCUUACUGAGCUGAGCUUUGCUCUCUGCUCCUUAUCAGCUCCACCCACUGAUUAAAGCAACUUUUAAUCUUGAUUUGACUCCUCUCACCGGCUGCUUUCCCUUUGCCACAAGGUCUCUCUGCUCUUCCACAGCCACUUCCUUUAAUCCAUCAUCCCUCAGCCACUGCUGAGACUUCCCUCUCUCCAAAUGUCCCCACUUCCCUGGCAGCAGCUCAUCUCCCACCUCCCCACAAAGGCUGGACAUUCCCAAAAAUCCUCACUUCAACCCGACCUGCAGCUCCCAUCAACUCGAGUUACACACAUUCCCUUUCCCAACUUUCUAUCUCGUUAACCCACAAGAGCAAUAAUUAGGAAAACUUCAUUUUGGCUCCAAAGCCGAACUCCAAACACCAGGGCACUGCAGGUGGAGCUUUGGGCAGGGAUGGGGGGUUGGAUCGGGGGGGUUUGCUCCCCACACCUGAGCAGGGCUGUAGCCGGCGGCUCCCAUCCCCAUCCUGCUCGUGCCGCUGGAAUUCAGCUGAUUCAGUGGCCUCUGGGCUUCAAAAGGCACCUUCAGCUCUCCAGUCAAAGGCUGUGGCUCCUGAGAUCCACGGGGCAGGAUCUGGGAACGCCGGGCAGGGCUGGGAAAUGUGCAUCUACGAGGAAGGGCGAGGGCACAACCGCCUCCCUCUGUUCUGGUUUGGCAAUUCCUUCCCCGCAGAUCUGGAAACGCUACAAAGCUGAGGGAACAACCACCCGCCCCUGCAGAUCAGCAGCCCCGGGGGGGAUGCGGCUUCCAGCGGCUCCCAGGGGAUGGAGACUCUCCCUCUGGAUUUUAUUCCUCUCCAUUUCAGAUUCUGACCCGCCCUGUGACCUCAGGAAUGACGUUAAGCCUGGUGUGACCUCAGCUUUAUUGUCUCAUUGUGCUGCUGCCAUUAAAGGAGGUUUUGUGUGAGAAUAAAAAAGCACAGCUCUUCUACUGGAAGGUGGAC